AUGGUCAUAUAAUGUUGAAACACCGGUUCCUGUACGAUCACCGGAGUUAAGCAACGUUGAGCCUGGUUAGUACCAAGAUGAAUGACAGUUUAGGAAAACUAAGUGCGGUAA